rnacentral:rRNA from 1 species
GAGUCUAGCAUGUGCGCGAGUCAUUGGGACAAGCGAAACCUAAAGGCGUAAUGAAAGUAAAGGCUCGCCUUGCGCAAGCCGAGGGAGGAUGGGUCGUUGCCACAAGCGCGACCCCGCACUCCCGGGGCGUCUCACUCUCAUUGCGAGAAGAGGCGCACCCAGAGCGUACACGCUGGGACCCGAAAGAUGGUGAACUAUGCCUGGUCAGGACGAAGUCAGGGGAAACCCUGAUGGAGGUCCGUAGCGAUUCUGACGUGCAAAUCGAUCGUCGGAACUGGGUAUAGGGGCGAAAGACUAAUCGAACCAUCUAGUAGCUGGUUCCCUCCGAAGUUUCCCUCAGGAUAGCUGGCGCUCGUUGUGCGAGUCUCAUCCGGUAAAGCGAAUGAUUAGAGGCAUUGGGGUCGAAACGGCCUCAACCUAUUCUCAAACUUUAAAUGGGUGAGAUCUCCGGCUUGCUUAAAACGUGAAGCCGCGAGAUUUCGGAUCAGAGUGCCAAGUGGGCCACUUUUGGUAAGCAGAACUGGCGCUGUGGGAUGAACCAAACGCCGAGUUAAAGCGCCAAAAUCGACGCUUAUGGGAUACCAUGAAAGGCGUUGGUAACUUAGGACAGUAGGACGGUGUCCAUGGAAGUCGGG